UACGUAGGGGGCAAGCGUUGUCCGGAAUUACUGGGCGUAAAGCGCGCGCAGGCGGCUCGUCAAGCCUGACGUGAAAGCCCCCGGCUCAACCGGGGAGGGUCGUCGGGGACUGGCGGGCUUGAGGUCGGCAGGGGUUGGUGGAAUUCCCGGUGUAGUGGUGAAAUGCGUAGAGAUCGGGAGGAACACCCGUGGCGAAGGCGGCCAACUGGGCCGAACCUGACGCUGAGGCGCGAAGGCGUGGGGAGCGAACGGG
rnacentral:rRNA from 1 species